GAUAAACGUUGGCGGCGUGCCUAAUGCAUGCAAGUCGCACGAGGGCUUCGGCCCUAGUGGCGGACGGGUGAGUAACACGUACGAAUCUGCCCGGAGGUGGGGGACAACUUCCCGAAAGGGAAGCUAAUACCGCAUACGGUCUACGGACCAAAGCCGAAAGGCGCCACCGGAGGAGCGUGCGGCGGAUUAGCUAGUUGGUGGGGUAACGGCCUACCAAGGCGACGAUCCGUAGCUGGUCUGAGAGGAUGGUCAGCCACACUGGGACUGAGAUACGGCCCAGACUCCUACGGGAGGCAGCAGCAAGGAAUUUUGCACAAUCGACGCAAGUCGGAUGCAGCAACGCCGCGUGGGGGAUGGAGGCUCUCGGGUUGUAAACCCCUUUUGCGAGGGAAGAAGAUCUGACGGUACCUCGCGAAUAAGUCACGGCUAACUACGUGCCAGCCGCCGCCGUUAA
rnacentral:rRNA from 1 species